UAGAGUAAUACAUAAGUAACCUGCCUCAUACAGGGGGAGUAACAGUUAGAAAUGACUGCUAAUACCGCAUAAGCGCACAGUGCUGCAUGGCACAGUGUGAAAAACUCCGGUGGUAUGAGAUGGACCCGCGUCUGAUUAGCUAGUUGGUGGGGUAACGGCCUACCAAGGCGACGAUCAGUAGCCGGCCUGAGAGGGUGAACGGCCACAUUGGGACUGAGACACGGCCCAAACUCCUACGGGAGGCAGCAUG
rnacentral:rRNA from 1 species